rnacentral:rRNA from 1 species
AGUGAACGCUGGCGGUAGGCCUAACACAUGCAAGUCGAACGGCAGCACAGUAAGAGCUUGCUCUUACGGGUGGCGAGUGGCGGACGGGUGAGGAAUACAUCGGAAUCUACUUUUUCGUGGGGGAUAACGUAGGGAAACUUACGCUAAUACCGCAUACGACCUACGGGUGAAAGCAGGGGAUCUUCGGACCUUGCGCGAUUGAAUGAGCCGAUGUCGGAUUAGCUAGUUGGCGGGGUAAAGGCCCACCAAGGCGACGAUCCGUAGCUGGUCUGAGAGGAUGAUCAGCCACACUGGAACUGAGACACGGUCCAGACUCCUACGGGAGGCAGCAGUGGGGAAUAUUGGACAAUGGGCGCAAGCCUGAUCCAGCCAUACCGCGUGGGUGAAGAAGGCCUUCGGGUUGUAAAGCCCUUUUGUUGGGAAAGAAAGGCAGCAGGUUAAUAACCCGCUGUUCUGACGGUACCCAAAGAAUAAGCACCGGCUAACUUCGUG